rnacentral:tRNA from 2 species
GGGGCCGUAGUUGAAUGGGACAACACCUCGCUCGCAAUGAGGAGGUUGGCGGUUCGAUUCCGCUCGGCUCCACCA